CCAGAAGAGGUGCGAAGCUUAGGUAGAAAACGACAGGAACCACAUUCCAAUAACCGUUUUUGAGGGAAGUUAUCGCCGAGAAUAGUUAAGUGGUGGACUUAACUAUUCGGUCACUAAGGUUGAAUCCUUAUGAUUGUCACCUGACGUAUUUGUUAAAUAAUACCUGUAUAUAUAUAAGGUAUCAUUAUGCAUUAAUUAAUAGGUGGAGAGCUUCUGGC
rnacentral:ncRNA from 1 species